rnacentral:sRNA from 1 species
CAUCUCUUCCCCAAGCAUUCAUUCUUGCCCAUUCACUCCCUAUCCUUCCUCCCAGAAGUAACAACUAUUAAUAAAUUAAUACAUAGUCUUCGGUACUUUUUUUCUUUGCAUACAAGCAUAUAUUAUUUGUGUACAUAGAUGUGUCUACAGUUCAUUUUAUAUUGUACAAAAUCUCUUAUACUGUUCUGCAACUUUUUUUUCACCUAAAAAAAUGUAUCCUGGACAUCUUUUCAUGUCUGUACAUGUGAAUCAUUCCUUUUUAAUGACUGUGUAAGAUUCUACUAUAUAAAUGUACCAUAAUUUAUUUAAUCAGUCCCCUAUUAAUGGACAUUUAGGUUGUUUCCAAUGUUUUCUAUUACAAACAGUGCUGCAGUGAACAUCCUUGUACAUAUAUCUUUGUGUGCUUUUUAGGAUAAAUUCCUAGAAGUGGAAUUGCUGGAUCCAAGGGUAUGCACACUUUAAAUUUUGAUAGAUACUGCCAAAUUGCCUGCCACAAAGGCUGUAGUAGUUUACAUUCUCACCAACAGUGUAUGAGUGCCCAUUUCCCCACACCUGCACCAACACUGGAUACUUUUGAUCUUUGCUAAAAAAAUAGGCAAAUAGUAUCUCAUUAUUUUUAUGUGGAUUAAAAACAAAUUAAUAGUGAGGUUAAGCAUCUUUUCAUAUUGACCAUUUGUUUUUCUUCUGUGAAUUACCUGUUUGUAUUCUUUACCCAUUUUUCUAUUGGGUCGUUUUUCUUACUGAUUUGUGGGGUGGUUGUUUAUAUUGAAUAUUAACCCUUUAACUAUUAUCUGUGUCUCUCAAUUAAAUUUUCACUUUGUUCCUUUUGCCAGGUGAAAAGUUUUACUUUUUAUAUAAUCAAAUUGAUCCUUGAUGACUCUUAGUUUCAUGUCUUGUUUAGGUAUUUCCUACUCCAAAGUAACAAAAAUAUUCUCCUAUAUUCUCUUCUAGUUCUUUUAUGAUAAUUAUGUCUAGCUCUCUAACCUAUUAGAAUUUAGUCUUCUGUUUGGUGUGAAGUAGGAUUCUGACUUUUUCCAAAGGGACAGCUAGUGUGCAAGCACAAUUUAUUGAAAAUCUGUCCUUUUUCCACUAAUCUGGGAUGCUAUGUUUAUCAUGUCCUAAAUUUCUGUAUACACAUGGGUCUGUUUCUGGACUCUCUUAUGUACUGUUGAUCUAUUUUGUAUCUUUCUAAAGCCAUAUGAAAAGGAAUUUAAUCUUUAGAACCUUCAGAAACUUUAUUUUCUGUCCUGGAUAUACCUCUAAGACUUAAAGCCAUUGUGACACCUGAUGGAUAUUCCAUGGUCUUCUCUAUGCCCGAGCACCCCCAUAAGCCACUAAUUUCUUUGAGUGUGAAACUCACCUGGGACGCAUUGCUGACUUUAGCCCUGUGGCUUAUUCUUGAGAGGAGACAUCCAGACAGGAUGUGACAUGGAGGCUUGGAGGGGAUUAAUACCCUGAGAAACGAUGACCACGUAAUUUUAUGCUUCAUCUAAGAAUGUGGUUUACUUCAUGGUAGACAUCUGGGUUCUUGGCUGAAGUUUCCACUCUUUCUUAACACCUCAGACCUCACUCUGAUGUCAGAGGGAAAGAAAAUGGGAGGACUUUGAUUGGCCUUUUCAGCUGGAUGAUGGGCCUCACCAGCACAGAAUGUGUGGCUUUGCUCAAAGGUGAAUGCUGUGUGUUUCUCUCAAGACACUUAGUUUUUGUUUGGGCCUUUAGGUAUCAGCUCCAAUAUUUUAAUGUAGAAUUGAGAUUUUGGUUUGUAUAGCUUAAAAAAUUAAAGUUUGUUUCCCUUUAAUACCUUGUACUGUUAUCUAAGAAGAGCCAUGCUACAAUUUCAUAUUACCUCUAAUGUUACAUAUAUUUUUCUGAUGAAUUUUCUCGAAGGCUGACUUAGGUAAUUUGAUAGCUUACUAUACAUUUCAUAGAAAGUCACUUUUAAUUGUAAGAUAAUUAUUACUUGCAAGUCAUGUUUUCCUAUUGACAUUAUUUUCAUUUAUCAACUAAUAGAAACUAUUAUACCUUUUUAACUUUUACUGUUUCAGAAAAAUAUGCCCAAAUUCAACAAAAUUCCUUUCUACCUCCAACCUCAUGCAUCUUCAGGAGCAAAAACCUUAAAAAAAGAUAGACUCUCUGCUAGUGACAUGCUCCAAGUCCGAAAAGUUAUGGAACAUGUUUAUGAAAAAAUUAUCAACUUGGAUAAUGAGUCUCAAACCACUAGCUCUUCUAAUAAUGAAAAACCAGGAGAACAGGAAAAAGAAGAAGAUAUUGCUGUGUUGGCAGAGGAGAAAAUUGAACUUUUGUGCCAGGACCAGGUAAGUGGACUUGAGGACGUACAGCCCCAAUUUUUCCAGUGCGGGUGCUCAUAGUUACAUGCCUUUGGGUGGGGGGCUUCUAGUUUUAGAGGGGCUCUAAGGAGCCCUGGGCCUCUCCCACCUAAAGCUCACCCUAAAGCUCCUCUUUACUGCUGGGGAGAUUUUCAGAGAAGGGAUACAUAGGCAAAUGUGGAUAUGUUGGUAGCUUUUUUUUCUGACAAGGCACAUGGUCUUCUUGAUUUGCAAAGCAGCAUAUGCCAUGUUAGUUUAUGAUUUAGAGUGAAGGUGUGUGGAGAAAUGGCAGAACUGUUUUUUAAAUCAAGAUGCCCUCAAAACGUAUCCUCAGAGGAAUGGCUGAAAGAUGGCCUGGUGUUUCUGGCAUAGUCACAAAAGAUGUACAUCUCACUAAGCUCAAUUUCAUUCCCGCAUGCAUGGAAGCCGUGACAGCAAGAAUUGGAUACCAGGCAUAGGGGAGGAGUGAGCAAGCUGGAUCACCUGAUGAGAGUCCCUGAGUUAAUGAUAAAGGUUUUAGAUAUUAGAGACUUUGAAAUUUUUAAAUUUAAUUUUGGCUAUUCAGGUUUUGGAUCCAAAUAUGGACCUUCGAACAGUGAAACACUUCAUAUGGAAGAGCGGUGGAGACCUCACCCUCCAUUACCGUCAGAAGUCCACGUGAAGGGUGGGCUAAUGCUCCUGGGUAUUCAUUUAUGACCUUCCUCUGUGGCCCCAAGAGUAGUCCCAGGGAGCCCACUGAGCCCCAACGGGAGCAAGACUUCUAACGGCUGAUUUGGUAUGGACCGAGAUUAUCUUUCAAUUGAAGUGACUAAUCGAGAUGUAAUAUAGAAACCAGUCUCCAUGUGUAGAUUAAGCUGUCCCCAGGGAAGCAGAGUGCAAGAGCAGAAGAGCCCCAAGCAGACUAUGCCUUUCGAGAUGUACAGAAGACUGACAACAGGCCAGUGCAGACUUUGCUUCCUCCUUUUGUUUCAAAGGACCUUAUCUGUCCGUUAGCACUUGUCAGAGACACCUCGGUCGGGCCACAACUGUCUGUUUCACCUUCAAACCCACACACUCUGUAGCUUUUCUAAAAGAGUAUAUUCCAUUCAUGCAAUAGAUAUGAAGGCUUUUUCCAAGUUUGUCAUAUAAAAAAAUCAAAUUGUUUUCACCAUUUAAGACAGUUAUUUUUAAUGGGAAUUUGCUGUUGCACAAUUUGAGAACCAGCCCAUUUCGUAAUAAAAGAUUAAUGUUGGGCUUGUUUUUAAUAUUGCAUCUCAGAUGUGUUCUUGUAGGAAGAUCUGUUGAAAUUCCAGGUGCUGGAUCAUAGCACUUGGACUGCUGGGCCAGAGUUUGUGCAGCCCGUGCCUAGCGAUGCUGCACCUCCCAUGAUGUCCUGGCUUUGUGGCAACCCCAGGGAGGUGCAGCCGUUUCACUCCUUCCUCCACUGUGUCCAGUUUUAUUUAAACAAAGCGAGCUGAGACCACAGGUUCUUGCUGUGGAUGAGCAGCAUGACACCAUCAAAACUUAAGACCAUGAUGAAAUUUCAGUUUCAUUCAAAUGUUACCUAAAAUUUAUGGUAUCAGAAUAAAGGGAGAUCAUAGUGAGUUAAUUUGAUAUUCAUAUCCUGGAAGUAUACAUAUUUGUUUUUCCAAAGUUUUAUAUGCAGGUUUUUGUUGUACCUGUAUCCAGAUCUUUUCACUGUUCUAACAAUCUAACACUUUCAUAGAAUCAUUUGGAUCUUGUAUAGAAUGUAACUUAUUGGGGAUAAACACUUCAACUUUUGGCAGAAAAUACUUUGGAUUCUCCCCAAGGUCAUUUGUAUUCAGAGUAAAUCAAUGGUCCACCGCCAUAAAACUGUAAGACAAGCCUCCUGUAUGAAGCCAGAAGCACAAGUGCCUUCAGAGGGCAGUUGAUUCCAGUCCAGUUGCCUCCCUAGCUUGUGUGUGGCCUGCCUCCACCAUAGCAGGGACUAGGGAGGGAGGCAGGGAAGGUUUUUUUCUUUUCUACAUCUUCACAGGUUCGGCUGGUGGCAGCUGAUAGGCCUAAGUCCAUACCUUACUAUUUAAGAUACUCUGAUCGCACAACUGCAGAGACAGGGUUCCCUCACUGCUAGUCAGCUUCCUUUGGAAACUGGACAGGCCAUUGUCACCUGCACUUUGAAGAAGUGAGCAAAGACGUGGCCACAUUUCUAAUAAGUUGAAAUGGUCUUUCUCCCUUCCUCAGAGAGCAACCAGCUUCUUUUUCUUAAAAGUCCUUUCUAUCUGUUGGAUACAACAGUGCGCUUUUGGUGCACAUUUUUUAGCAAUAGUUGUGAAUUAAUGGCAAAAAAAAAAUUAUUUACCAGCCCUCAGUUGUGUUUGCCCGAGGGGCCUUUGAGCAAAGAAAUGGGUUUUGCUGGGUCAUUUUGCCCUGUGUGCUAAGCCUUGGGUGGCUGCAUUCCCCUCCUGUCAUCGAUCUGACCCCCAGCAUGAUUGUAUUUCUUUCCCCUCCAGUCAAACCGUAAUACAGUUUCCAGAAAAUCUGACAGUCUGCAAUGACAAAAGGGUAAAAAUCUGUAUUUCACAGUUGUAUAGAAUAAAGGCUUUAGUUAAAAUA